rnacentral:rRNA from 1 species
UUAACACAUGCAAGUCGAACGAGAAUCACCGGAAGGAGUUUUCGGACAACGGAAGGUGAGGACAGUGGCGGACGGGUGAGUAACGCGUGAGGAACCUGCCUUUCAGAGGGGGACAACAGUUGGAAACGACUGCUAAUACCGCAUAACGCAUAGGUAUCGCAUGGUACUUAUGCCAAAGAUUUAUCGCUGAAAGAUGGCCUCGCGUCUGAUUAGCUGGUUGGUGAGGUAACGGCCCACCAAGGCGACGAUCAGUAGCCGGACUGAGAGGUUGACCGGCCACAUUGGGACUGAGAUACGGCCCAGACUCCUACGGGAGGCAGCAGUGGGGAAUAUUGGGCAAUGGGCGCAAGCCUGACCCAGCAACGCCGCGUGAAGGAAGAAGGCUUUCGGGUUGUAAACUUCUUUUGGCAGGGAAGAGGAGAAGACGGUACCUGCCGAAUAAGCCACGGCUAACUACGUGCCAGCAGCCGCGGUAAUACGUAGGUGGCAAGCGUUGUCCGGAUUUACUGGGU